CUUCCCACCCAUCCCAAAAAAGGGUAAAUUCUGACUAGAUAUCAUAUCAUAGCCACACUAAAAGUGUGUAAGCUCGGAUGAACACUGAAAUGGUCUGGUUACUCCGUAAUUUUCAUGAACUCUGGGGGUGUUUGUUGGUUGCAUGAUUUUUGGGCGGCUUGGGGAUAUGUGGGCGCAGACAGCCUCAUUGAAUCGGGUGCACACUCCUUCCUUUGCCUUCUCUCUCUCUUCCUUGCUCUUAAUUUCAAUCCUUGCUCUCUUCUAAUUACCACUUUCUUUCCUGCUCUUCUAAUUACCGGACCAAUUUCUCCCCUUCGCUUGCUUACACCUUGCAGCACAACUCAGGAAUCAAGUUAAUUCUUGAAAAAUUGAAACUUGCGGAAGAAAGGCAAAUGGAAGGAAGGGACUCACUUUGGUAUCUCUGAACAGAGUUAAGGCUUCUGGGAUCCCUUCUGAUGAGAAAGUGAAGUUUGCAUAUGCAAUCAACAUAAGAAAGCUAGUCAAGCCACCACUACCAGCAGGAUACUGGGGAAUUCUGACCAAGGCUGAAGACCAUGUCGAUCAACCGAUAUAUAAAACAGCAGAAUUGAUCAACAAGAGCAAAUACAAUGUAUCUGAUGAAUAUGUUCGAUCAUUUAUCGAUUUUCAGGAGCUAAAUUAUCAUGAAGGGACCACAGUAGGAGCAAAGGCGAGUGGAAUUACUGAUUGGAGACACUUAGGCCAUCCACAGUGGACUUUGGUUGGGGAGGUCCUGUUACAGUUUUUCCUCUGUCAAGAAACCUGCUUGGAAGCGUUGAGCCCCGUUUCUUUUUGCCCUAUUCUUCAGCAAAUGAAGGGGAAAAGGAUGGUU